UAGGGAAUCUUCCGCAAUGGACGCAAGUCUGACGGAGCAACGCCGCGUGAGUGAAGACGGAUUUCGGUUCGUAAAACUCUGUUGUUAGAGAAGAACAGCGCAUAGAGUAACUGUUAUGCGUGUGACGGUAUCUAACCAGAAAGCCACGGCUAACUACGUGCCAGCAGCCGCGGUAAUACGUAGGUGGCAAGCGUUGUCCGGAUUUAUUGGGCGUAAAGCGAGCGCAGGCGGUCAAUUAAGUCUGAUGUGAAAGCCCCCGGCUCAACCGGGGAGGGUCAUUGGAAACUGGUUGACUUGAGUGCAGAAGAGGUGAGUGGAAUUCAAUGUGUAGCGGUGAAAUGCGUAGAUAUAUGGAGGAACACCAGUGGCGAAGGCGACUCUCUGGUCUGUAACUGACGCUGAGGCUCGAAAGCGUGGGUAGCAAACAGG
rnacentral:rRNA from 1 species